GCCCCUCGGGGUGUAAACCGUUKUYMSGGGGGAAGAAAAGGCUGCGGGCGAAUAACCCGGGCUCUUKACGGWACCCCCAGAGGAAGCGCCGGCUAACUCCGUGCCAGCAGCCGCGGUAAUACGGAGGGCGCAAGCGUUGUYCGGAAUUACUGGGCGUAAAGGGGGCGCAGGCGGCUGGCUCAGUCCUGUGUGAAAUCCCACGGCUCAACCGUGGAAUGCCACAGGAUACUGGCGAGCUUGAGACGGGUAGAGGCGAGUGGAAUUCCCGGUGUAGCGGUGGAAUGCGUAGAUAUCGGGAAGAACACCAGUGGCGAAGGCGACUCGCUGGGCCCGUUCUGACGCUCAGGCCCGAAAGCGUGGGGAGCAAWYAGGAUUAGAUACCCUGGUAGUCCACGCCGUAAACGAUGGGCACUAGGUGCUGGGAAGUGUGACCUUUUCGGUGCCGUAGCUAACGCGUUAAGUGCCCCGCCUGGGGAGUACGGCCGCAAGGCUGAAACUCAAAGGAAUUGACGGGGGCCCGCACAAGCGGUGGAGCAUGUGGUUUAAUUCGAUGCAACGCGAAGAACCUUACCUGGGCUUGACAUGCUAGGGAAGUCGGGUGGAAACAUCCGGCGCCCUUCGGGGCCCUAGCACAGGUGCUGCAUGGCUGUCGUCAGCUCGUGUCGUGAGAUGUUGGGUUAAGUCCCGCAACGAGCGCAACCCUUACCCGUAGUUGCCAGC
rnacentral:rRNA from 1 species